rnacentral:rRNA from 1 species
GACGAACGCUGGCGGCAUGCUUAACACAUGCAAGUCGAACGGAAAGGCCUCUUUCGGGGGGUACUCGAGUGGCGAACGGGUGAGUAACACGUGAGUAACCUGCCCUUGACUUUGGGAUAACUUCAGGAAACUGGGGCUAAUACCGGAUAGGAGCUCCUGCUGCAUGGUGGGGGUUGGAAAGUUUCGGCGGUUGGGGAUGGACUCGCGGCUUAUCAGCUUGUUGGUGGGGUAGUGGCUUACCAAGGCUUUGACGGGUAGCCGGCCUGAGAGGGUGACCGGCCACAUUGGGACUGAGAUACGGCCCAGACUGCUACGGGAGGCAGCAGUGGGGAAUAUUGCACAAUGGGUGGAAGCCUGAUGCAGCAACGCCGUGUGCGGGAUGACGGCCUUCGGGUUGUAAACCGCUUUCGCUCAUGACGAAGCUUUGUGUGACGGUAGUGGGUAAAGAAGCACCGGCUAACUACGUG